CGUAAAUCGUUGAAAGGGAAAGUACCCUGAUCUUAGGUGCUAGAGAAGAAAUGCCGUGGCUGCAAGCAUUUCCCGCAAAGGUUCAGGUGAAGACCACCCUGGAGUGCAAGGCUGAAAGAAGUAAGCUCUGCCGUUUCCCGCGUUAAGGGUGAUCGAGCGGAAGGAUAAAUUCCUUUCAAUUGGGUGGAACCACGGGAGUAAACUCUCGUCCCUUGU
rnacentral:ncRNA from 1 species